GGACAGAAAACCAACCACCACAGGUUCUCACUCAUAGAACAAGAAUCUGCUCAUCUAAUAUGUGAACACUUAAAACAAAAUUUGGUAGAGAAACUAGAAGAAAAUGAAGCCCAAUAUUUAUAGCGCCUGCCUGGAAAGGUGAUCUUUACACAGCCAGCUCCCCUUUGCCUUCUGCCAUGAGCGGAAGCAGCUUGAGAUCCUCCCAGAAGGUCUCACUCCUUCUAAGCAACACCCUGCAGAGUGAUGCAUCUUUACCCAGAAAAGGUCCACUGAAGGAACCAGAUGUUUCCAUAGGAGAAAGGCACAGCACGGAAUUACUUUACAGAGAAAUACAUGAGCCAUCAAGAAAUAAAGUGAGAAUGUGGAUAAGGCCCAUGAAGAAGCCAAUAUUCCAAACAGUGAGCAUACCAGGUGUGCAUGUGUGACCAGAAAUGAAAACGGUUUCUGUGAAAGCACAUUUUAAAAUAGACAAGAACAGUUACAAUAGUGUUCGCCACAAGUAAAUGACUUUUACUGAAACUUAUAACCUGAGAAAUAGGUAGAACAGGUGGUGUUCCCAGUUCAGAAAGGAGCAAAGAGUUGCCCAGGUAAUAAUCACACCAUGAGACAAGGUCUGGCUCUGUCACCCCGGCUGGAGUGCAGUGGCACUAUCACAGCCACUGCAGCCUCAAC